CAUAUAAGUAAGUGGUGGAAGAAAAAAUAAACAUGAUUCUUUUAGUAAUGGCGAAUGAACAAAGACAUGGUCAUUUUGAAAAUUGUGGUCUUAGAUCAUGAAUUGUAUUUUCAAAAUGCAUUGCUAACACAACUGCACAUGUUUGUUUAUUGGAAAGAACAUCACAAAGGGUGACAAUCCCAUGUGUCAUGUGUAUGUUUUGUGUACAGUGUGCAUUAUAUGAAUCACAUUCAUUGACAAUUGAAUGCAAAUAGAAUGGUAAAUUUCAUUUAAUCAUAAAUAUGUUGUUGACAACUUAUAGCAAACAAAUACCAUGAGGGAAAUGUGAAAAGGAUUUUGAAAAGAAAAUUAAAAGAGCUUGCAAUUGCUGAACUGAUAAGCAAACAAAACAUACGUGUGUAUGCAAGAUUGUUGUAAUGCUUAGCAUCUUUUGCAAGGCUAUUGCAAUGAUUUUUUGUAUAGUGAUGCUACCUUUUUUUAGAAUUUGGAAUGUCUUUUUUUGAGUGUGAAUGGAAUUUUGUUUGUUAGCAAAGGAAUGCACUUUUAGAUUCAUUGUUUGAUUUGAUUUUAAAAUGUUUGUGACACAUGUCUUUGUGUUAGUUUCAUGAUUGAACCAAGGACAUUGUGUUUGAUCCAUGUCAGCAAUACAUGUUUUGUUUGACCCGUCUUGAAACACGGACCAAGGAGUUUAAUUUAUGUGCAAGAUCAUGAAACUGACAUUUGUAUAUCAAUGAAAAUAUUUUGUUGGGAUUUGUGCACCAACAACUGAUAAGUUGUGUGACGCGACGUUGAGUUUGAGCAUGUUGAUUAAAACCCGAAAGAUGGUGAACUAUGCCUGAACAGAAUGAAGUCAGAGGAAACUCUGAUGGAAGUUCGUAUCGAUACUGACGUGCAAAUCGUUCGUCAUACUUGGGUAUAGG
rnacentral:rRNA from 1 species